UACGUAGGGGGCGAGCGUUGUCCGAAGUUACUGGGCGUAAAGCGCGCGUAGGCGGUUAAUUAAGUCUGUGGUGAAAGGUUCAGCGCUCAACGCGAACAUUGCCCUGGAUACUGGUUGACUUGAGUCUGGGAGGGGGUAGUGGAAUUCCUGGUGUAGCGGUGAGAUGCGUAGAUAUCAGGAGGAACACCGGUGGCGAAGGCGACUACCUGGCCUAAGACUGACGCUGAGGUGCGAAAGCGUGGGGAGCGAACGGG
rnacentral:rRNA from 1 species